UGGGAUGUGGCUCACUGGUAGAGCGCUUGCCUAGCAUGUGUGAGGCACUGGGUUCGAUCCUCAGCACCACAU
rnacentral:tRNA from 1 species